rnacentral:rRNA from 1 species
UGCAUAUCCAAAAAGCGGAGGAAAAGAAACCAACAGGGAUUGCCUCAGUAACGGCGAGUGAAGCGGCAACAGCUCAAAUUUGAAAUCUGGCCUCUUUGGGGUCCGAGUUGUAAUUUGUAGAGGAUGUUUCGGGUACCGCCUCGGUUUAAAUUUCUUGGAACAGAAUGUCAGAGAGGGUGAGAAUCCCGUCUUGGACCGGCGGUAGGGCCCAUGUGAAACUCCUUCGACGAGUCGAGUUGUUUGGGAAUGCAGCUCAAAAUGGGUGGUAAAUUUCAUCUAAAGCUAAAUAUUGGCCAGAGACCGAUAGCGCACAAGUAGAGUGAUCGAAAGAUGAAAAGAACUUUGAAAAGAGAGUUAAACAGUAUGUGAAAUUGUUGAAAGGGAAGCGCUUGCAACCAGACUUGAGCGCGGCGGUUCCCCCUUCCUUUUGGUUGGGUUACUCCGCCGUGUCCAGGCCAACAUCGGUUCUGGGGGUCGGUUAAAGGCCCGGGGAAUGUACCUACUCCUUCGGGGGUAGACUUAUAGCCCCGGGUGUCAUGCGACCACCCGGGACCGAGGAACGCGCUUCGGCUCGGAUGUUGGCGUAAUGGUUGUCAGCGACCCGUCUUGAAACAACGGACCCAAA